ACGCAAUGAUGAAUUCUUAUUCAACGAAUUUCUUCACCUGAAUUUAAUGUGGAUAAAAAAAAGACAGAGCUUUUUAACCCUGAGUGUU
rnacentral:snoRNA from 1 species